ensembl:lncRNA
GGGCCCGGGGCCUCUGACCUGACCAGGAGAUGGGAUGGGAGGGGCAGUUUGCUGAAGGAGAGCACGGCUUCCCCUGGGACCCACUCCCAGUGAGCCUUGGUGAAGACGGAGCCCAGGCAGCUGCCACUCGGGCCCUCAGCACCCUGCAGGAUACUGGCAGUGAGGCCCGUGGGGACCCCUGAGAGCCAAACUGCCCCCAGAGAACCAGAGAGCCAGGAGGCCCAGAACACAGCAGAGGGUGCAGGUGACCAAGCCACACGAAGUACCCACUCGCACAGCCUGGGCCGCUCUGGGGUCGGGCAGAGGGGCAGUGUCUGCAGCGAAGGGGUCAGGCCUGCUGCAGCUCUGACAGCAAAGGCCCUCCCUGGACCCUGGCCAGAGGAGGCCACCCAGAGCUCAGGCCCCAGAGCUGCAGCCCAGGCCUCCUCUAAACAAGGUCCACAAGCAGCAGCAUUGGCCAGAGACCAGGCCCAGAGUUAGAGCCCGCACUUCCAGCAGAACAAGGGCCAGGUGCAGGCUCAGGCUGGGAGGCAACGACCCAGAAGACACCAGGCAUGUGUGGGCGGACUGUUUGCAGGGCGAUUUCCGUGUCUCACUGAUGGAAACCCAGGCCUCUGGUAAUUAUACACACCACCUCCCACGCUCACAGCCCACUCUCAACGAACAUCAAAACAGUAAUAAAACAGCCAAAUGCCACAAAGAAAACAUUACUUUAAAAAAAGAUUGGACCUUCUGCCAGCCCAUUUCGCCCACACGCCGGGAAAGCCAGGUCUGGGAGGAAGGAGGCAGCCUUGCGCCUGGGAAGCCGCCAUCCUCCCCCGGUCCAUGCAGUCCUGCCACCAUCGGGAGCUUCCCACCAGCCCACUGGCCGCUUGCCCUCCUACAAGGCCGGUCCACAGCCCCAGCCCCAGGACACUUCCCAUGUGGUGCCACUGACACUCUCAGAAUCCAAAGUUCAAGGUGGGAGCUAUCAGCGUGUUAUGUGUGUGCACAAUGCCCCAUGAUGAAUGUGAGCAUCUUGUACGGUAAUGAACAUGUGAGUUGUGAACUUUCACAGGUCUACGUAGCAUGUAAAACUCACUUUGUUGGCUUACCAGUGAAUGUGACCUACAAAC